GAAUAAAAAGCAACGCCGUCUAGGGCUGUAGCAGCGGUCCCGGCGACGCGACGCUGGCACCGUGUUGAUUACAUCACUUCCGGGGCGACAGGUUUACGCUUCUUGCGCGUAAGGAAGGGCAUUUGGCUGUUUUUGCUCGGGAAGGAGACCAGUGAGGAAUGAUCUAUAAAGUAUGCUAAUAUUAAACAAGACAGGAGUUUUUUCUAAACUAUCAAAAAGGAAAAUUUAUGAAUUUUUAAUAAGUUUUAACUUUUAUCCCGGAAAACUAUUUCUUCAUAAACUAGUAUUGGGAAUUGAAACCAGUUGUGAUGAUACAGCAGCUGCUGUGGUGGAUGAAACUGGAAAUGUUUUGGGAGAAGCAAUACAUUCCCAAACUGAAAUUCACUUAAAAACAGGUGGGAUUAUUCCUUCAGUAGCUCAACAACUUCACAGAGAAAAUAUUCAACGAAUAGUGCAAGAAGCUCUUUCUGCCAGUAAAGUCUGUCCAAGUGAACUCUCAGCAAUUGCAACUACUACAAAACCAGGACUUGCUUUAAGCUUGGGAGUAGGCUUAUCAUUUAGCUUACAACUGGUCAAGCAGUUAAAAAAGCCUUUCAUUCCCAUUCAUCAUAUGGAGGCUCAUGCACUUACUAUCAGGUUAUCAAGUAAAGUUGAAUUUCCUUUUUUAGUUCUUUUGAUUUCUGGGGGUCAUUGUCUCUUGGCAUUAGUUAGAGGAGUUUCAGAUUUUCUGCUUCUUGGAAAGUCUUUGGACAUAGCGCCAGGUGACAUGCUUGACAAGGUAGCAAGAAGACUUGCUUUAAUAAAACAUCCAGAGUGCUCCACCAUGAGUGGUGGGAAGGCUAUAGAAUAUUUGGCCAAACAAGGAAAUAAAGUGCAUUUUGAUUUCAUACCUCCCAUGCAACGUGCUAAAAAUUGUGAUUUUUCUUUUUCUGGACUUCAAAAUGUUAUUGAUAAGAUAAUACUGCAAAAGGAAAAAGAGGAAGGUAUUGAGAAGGGGCAAAUCCUGUCUUCAGCUGCAGACAUUGCUGCUGCAGUGCAGCACACAACAGCAUGCCACAUCGCAAAAAGAACACACCGCGCUAUUCUGUUUUGCAAACAGAGAGACUUGUUAUCUCCAAGUAAUGCAGUGCUCGUUGUAUCUGGAGGCGUUGCAAGUAAUUUAUAUAUCCGGAAAGCCCUGGAAAUGGUAACAAAUGCAACACAAUGUGCUUUGUUGUGUCCUCCUCCCAGGCUGUGUACUGACAACGGCAUUAUGAUUGCAUGAUGUCCCCUUGGAGUAGAUAUAUCAAAAGAAGUUGGAGAAGCUGCCAUAAAAGUACCACAGUUAAAAAUUAUGAUUUAAGUUUUACUUUCCAAAAAUCCCUAAAGGUAUUUUAUAUUCAGUUACUCAUUUACUCACCACUCAAAAUAUUUCGAACAUUAAAUCUGCUUGAAGUGAUUGGGAAAAGCUUCAUGGGAGAAGAGACACUUCAGCUAGAAACUUAAGUUCAUGAUGAAACUGACAAGAAGGAGGCAAAAUCAUCUGAAUAUAUGCCUGAGGAACUUUGCUGUUAUUCCAGCCCUGUUUCUGCUGUGGGAAUUUGGCAUAGUUUUGAAUCAAGUCCAAAAGUUCAUAUGAUGUCAAGGUCAUGGUGUUCCUGGUUGGCUUAGAACUCUCAAAUGUACGCCAGCUUACCCCCAAAUGGCUUCCUGGAUCAGACUUAGAGGCAACCAGUCUCCCAAAAACUUGUCUGCAUUCACAGUUCUGUUGCUAAGUUGGAAUUAAAACAGGCAUUGGCAAUGGACAUUUAGAGUGAAGUUUUUCUCUUGGUAAACAAUUCAUAUGAAGAAGAGUCCCCUUUGUUUGAUCUUCCUUCAACUUCCUUAAAAUUUCCUCUAUCAAUAAUUUCACUACUGCAAAUUCAAACAGAAGCACAGUACCUUAAGGAAGGAAGUCCCACUCUUUGUUGCAUUUGAAAUUCCUUUAAAAAUGCUGGGUUAAUACUUGCAUCUCUGCUGAUAUUAUUUGUUAUACGAAGGAACUGACUGGGCUUAUUCCUGCACUCCUUUAAUAGUAUGCGGAAAGCAUUUGCAUUGUAAGUUAAGUAGCCAAGAGCACAGGAGCAAGCUGUGCAGACCUAGGUAAAGAAGAAACAGUUCCUCCUUAAAUACUGAGCUUUGUUCUUAAAAUACCUAACCCAGUGGUCUCAUUAGAAAUUUCACAGGAAAGUCUUUGUAGCUAUUAACGAAUACAUAUGUCAACCAGUGGCAAUCUAUAGAUGGAAGCAUAACAGCCAUAAUUUUAGAGAGGGCUGCCAACUGCCAUUGAUUUCUACUAGUUCUCAAUUUCCAUUACAUUUUUUUAGAACCACCAGGAGUUUAAGGAAAAGCCCACCAAUUGAAUCAGAAUCUCUUGGGGAUAGAAUCUGCGUAUUUGCGGUGUUCUUUAAAUGCCAAAGGUGAUUUUACUGUUUAGCCAGAGGAAAAAACAUUGAGUUUUAACUAAGAGGGUUUCAGUCUUGACUAUGCCUUACAGUCAUCUAGAUAGCUUGAAAAUUAUUCGCACCUGAGUUCCACCCCUAGAAACUGAUUUAAUUUUGGAGGGGUGUGGCCUGGACAUUGGAAUUUUUCAAAACUGCUGAGGUGGUUGUAAUAGGAAGCCAGAGAAGAGACUGUAGGACAAAAGUAAGUAAAAAAUAAGACAAACAGGAAAGCAACUCCGUUUUUUCAACUGGCGAAAACAAACAAGCACAAGUGUCAGGCCACAGGAUUCCAGAAAUAGUAGCCAUUUUCUUCUUUGAAGGAAAUACCCUCUGCCUGUGACCUGAAGUAAUUAGGUUUUCAUGUGAUUAAUUUAAGUAUAAUUUUGGGGGUAGUUGUUAGGAAAAUCUGUUCGUGGUGGCAUAAGAAGUAUCAUAGAAUGAACAUAAACCAGGCCCAUGCAGGAUAACAGAGGGUUGACAUAUUGGUCUUUAUAUUGGCAACUGACUGCUGUAUAUGCCUGUAUAUCUUCCACAUCUUGAACAGUGGUUCUCAGUUUAUGUUCCCUGGACCAGCUGCUUCAGCUUCUGCAAACUUGUUAGGAAUGUAAAUCCUAGGGUGUUAGGUACUAGAUCAGAAACUCUGGGAAUGGAGGCCAGCAACCUACGGUGAUUCCAGUGUACCCUGAAGUUGGAGAAACACUACCUUAGACUUUGGGGGAGAAGCGUAGGGGAACACUACACACCCUCAUCUCUAACACUGUCUGGCAGGUAAAGAAAACUCCAUUGGAUUCCACUUUCAUUCAUUCCAAAUAAUCACAGAAAUGACUUAGAUCAUAAAAAUGAACCAGUUUUUAUGAGAUAUUUUAUAAAUGUUUUAAUUAUACAUUUCUUUAUCAGUAUACUUUUUCAUAGAUUGAAUCUUAAAUACUGAAGUUAAAACAAAUAAGUACAAUUGUGGGAACCAAAAUUGUGUAUGGCAGAUGUAGUAUUUAAGAAAUCACCUAAUUUUGAGUUAGUAGCAUGAAGUAUUAUAUAAAAGUCAACUUACAGAGAAAUUAGCCCACAGAAGUGAGAGAGGCAAUUAUAUUUUUAGAAUAGACAAUUUUAGAAUUAUUUUUGUUUUUACCUCUUCUUUUCCUGAAUACAAAUGAUAGCAGAGCCGUUGGAUUGUCCCUAAUGUGGUAAAUGCUUCUGGAAUACCAGCUCUCGAAUGAGCCAGGCUAGCUAUUAAAUUCCCUAUAAAUUAAACAAGAAAAAAUGCUUAUUAUUUAAUUGAUACAAACUGACAUACUGUGCUUUUGUUCAUUUGCACAAAGCAUUAAAAAGUUUUGAAUCACAGACAUCUCUAUUAAUGAAGUGUUGGGAGGAUAGUGUAUGUUAAGUGUAGAAUACACUUUUGCCAAAAUUAUGGCUUGGUUUUCUGUCUCAAAUAGUAAAGGUUACAUAGUUUAUUUAAGAGUGAGGAAUUUUGAAAAUAAGAGGUUUUCUUCCUCAUGACUUCAGAAUAUAUUUUGUUUUGAGGCUCUAGGGUUUUUUUUUGUGACUAUGGAUGUAAUAAUUGAACUACCAUAUAAUAUGUCCUUUAUGUAGUUCUAAUGGCUUUGAGUUAAGAGCAUAAUGGUAUUUUAAAAUCAAGCAAUGUAUUGUUUAUUGAAGUUUAAAUUUAAAAUCAAGUUUUUGCUGUAAAAUGAAAUGUUUUGGGAUUGGAAAUAAUAAAGUGAUCUGAUAAUUAAAUAAAUGUGCAACUACCAGCUUAAAA